rnacentral:misc_RNA from 1 species
UCCGAGUUGACCCCGGCAGUCUCUCUAGAGUCCCCACCAUUACGUGCUGGCAACUAAAGACGGGGGUUGCGCUCGUUGCGGAACUUAAUCCAACACCUCACGGCACGAGCUGACGACAGCCAUGCAACACCUGUCAGGGGCCCUUACGGACCCUACAUCUCUGUGGGUUUUCCCCUGAUGUCAAGCCCAGGUAAGGUUCUUCGCGUUGCAUCGAAUUAAGCCACAUGCUCCGCCGCUUGUGCGGGCCCCCGUCAGUUCCUUUGAGUUUUAGCCUUGCGGCCGUACUCCCCAGGCGGGGUGCUUAAUGCGUUAGCUUCGGCACGGAACGGGUUGAAGACCGCCCCACACCUAGCACCCAACGUUUACGGCUGGGACUAC